UCAUUUCGCUAGGGGUCCUGGAGCAGUCAUCCGGGUGAGAGAUACCCUUCGUACCUGAUCUGGAUAAUGCCAGCGAAGGAAAGCGCAAAGUACCUCCC
rnacentral:ncRNA from 2 species